AGAGAGGCGGGGUGACGCACGGGGCGCGUAUACCUGCCGGGCGCCGCUGCGGUGUCGCAGGGAGAGCUGAGCGGAGAGGCGAGAUGGGUGGCUGUCGCCGCUCCUGCUUCUCCUCGCCGCCUCUUCGGCCGCCCUUCUGGCCACCGGCGCCCAUUCUUCCUGACCCGGGCCUCUGGCCCAUACCGUGUACUCCACGUUCAUGUUCGAGGCCACUUUGGCUCCGCUAGGUGGGCUUGCGAGUCCGCGCACCCGCACGCGGCGCCUGGCGCACCCGCUUCGGCGGACGGAGCUGGCCCGACUCCUCGCCUUGGUGUUCCCCUCCCGCAGCAGGAGAUCGGGGGCGCCGAGAACCGGAACGCAGGGGACCCUCAGGCCUCCGGGGCCGCACACCGGCUCCGCACACGCCAGCGUAGCGCCCCCGAAACGCGCCUGGCCUCCAGCUCAGCGCUGAGCAGAGGGCGGCCUCGAACCCGGACUUGGACACUUGUAAACCUUGGAGCAGCAUCGCACGUCGUGUUCCACGAACGACUGUUGCUGACUCAUAGGGAGAUUUCCCGGGAUUCCUGCCCAGGGCCAGCAAACCUCUCAGUGGGCUCCCCGCAGAGUCCAGGGCAGCCACAGACCAGGGGUCACAGGCUCUUGUGUGGUCACCCACCUAGGCACCUUAAAACCAAGGUCCCCUUGGACUCCAGGCCCGGCAAAGCCCAUCCCCCUGCACACCGCCUCUCUUUCGCGGACCGCCUGUCCUCCAUCCGCUAUCAGACGCUAUCGGAAGCUGAGAGACCAACGCCGCUGCGGUGUCGCAGGGAGAGCCGAGCGGAGAGGCGAGAUCGCGGGCUAUUGCCGCUCCUGCUUCUCCUCGCCGCCUCUUCGGCCGCCCUUCUGGCCACCGGCGCCCAUUCUUCCUGACCCGGGCCUCUGGCCCAUACCGUGUACUCCACGUUCAUGUUCGAGGCCACUUUGGCUCCGCUAGGUGGGCUUGCGAGUCCGCGCACCCGCACGCGGCGCCUGGCGCACCCGCUUCGGCGGACGGAGCUGGCCCGACUCCUCGCCUUGGUGUUCCCCUCCCGCAGCAGGAGAUCGGGGGCGCCGAGAACCGGAACGCAGGGGACCCUCAGGCCUCCGGGGCCCCACACCGGCUCCGCACACGCCAGCGUAGCGCCCCCGAAACGCGCCUGGCCUCCAGCUCAGCGCUGAGCAGAGGGCGGCCUCGAACCCGGACUUGGACACUUGUAAACCUUGGAGCAGCAUCGCACGUCGUGUUCCACGAACGACUGUUGCUGACUCAUAGGGAGAUUUCCCGGGAUUCCUGCCCAGGGCCAGCAAACCUCUCAGUGGGCUCCCCGCAGAGUCCAGGGCAGCCACAGACCAGGGGUCACAGGCUCUUGUGUGGUCACCCACCUAGGGACCUUAAAACCAAAGUCCCCUUGGACUCCAGCCCCUUGGAGCUGGCCCGACUCCUCGCCUUGGUGUAUUCCUGUAUCUUUAAGAAUUUUCCACAAUUUGUAGUGAUUCACACAGUCAAAGGCUUUGGCGUAGUCUAUAAAGCAGAAGUAGAUGUUUUUCUGUAACUCUCUUGCUUUUUCUAUGAUCCAACUGAUGUCAGCAAUUUGAUCUCUGGUUCCUCUGCCAUUUGUAAAUCCAACUUGAACAUCUGAAAGUUCUCGGUUCGUGUACUAUUGAAGCCUGGCUUGGAGAAUUUUGAGUAUUACUUUGCCAGUGUGUGCUGCUGCUGCUAAGUCACUUCAGUCGUGUCCGACUCUGUGUGACCCCAUAGACAGCAGCCACCAGGCUCCCCUGUCCCUGGGAUUCUCCAGGCAAGAAC
ensembl:lncRNA